GAGGGUAUAGCUUCAGGGGUAGAGUGUCUGCUUAGCAAGCACCAGGAACUGGGUUCAAUCCCCAGCACCUCCA
rnacentral:tRNA from 1 species